CCCAAUCAACAAAAAUAUCAAAUCCAAACAUUCACAGAACAUGAUGAAUCAAAACCCAGAAAUAAUUUGAGCAUAAAAAGCAAAAAUGUAGAGUAAAAAUAACAAAAAGGGUACCGUGAGAAGAAUCCGCGGCCAUAGCUAUUGAAGAAGAAGCAGUGCACCCUCCACAUUCCCUCCAAAGAGCCCAACUUUUGCGAAGCUGCAAAUCAGAAGAAAAAGUAAUUAGGACACACCACAUAUGAACAAAAAAUAGUAAAAGUAAAGAAAAACAAAUAAACAAAACCCAAAAGGGAAAGAAAGGAAGGAGAUGGUGAAGAGAGAGAAUGAGAGGGAAUAGAAUAACUACCCACAAAAGACGCUUGCAAUUCUGCUGCACAGCACAGCCUACGAAUCCAUCACUUCUCUCUCCCUCUCUAAUGUUUCUUUCAGGACCCGAAGAUGCAGUGGAAGGAGAUUCUAGGAGGACUCAUCUUCUGCUGCUGCUGCUGCCUCCUCCUCUUCUUAGAGAGAUAAAGUUUAGUGAGAGAGAAUGGAGAAAAAAGAGUACCAAAUAAAUUUAUGAGAGAGAGAGAGUAGUAGUGAGGCUACGGCCUUGAAUUGAGACAAGGGCAACAGCGGCGGCAUGUCAUCAUCUUUUAUCACAUGUAACAAAGUCUAAAAUAUCGAUGAUAUCGGAAAUAUCGGUAGUUCAAAAAUACGGAAAUUUCGAUGGAAAUAUCGGGAUAUUUUCGAUAUCGAUAAAAAUUGAAUAAAAACCACGGAAAUUGUAAGAAAAACUUGGAAAUUUUUAUUGAAACUUUGCAUGAUGUUUAUUUAGUCAAUUAUCUAUUAGUUUAUCACAAAAAAUUAGAAGGAAAUACAUUGCAUGAUAGAUUUAACUGAUUUAAGUUGAUUAUAUAGCGAGCUGGCAAACAUUGUGAGUGUAGAAAAUAUAUAGUAAUUAAUUAAAGAAGUUUAAACACACCAUAAUCAUUUAUAUAUAAUGAAUUAAUACAAUAUUUUACACUUUAUACAUUGCAUGGUAAGAUACAUGAGUAACUUAGUAUCACAUAGAGUUCCUAUCAAGGUCUAAAAUAUCGAUGAUAUCGGAAAUAUCGGUAGUCCAAAAACACGGAAAUUUCGAUGGAAAUAUCGGGAUAAUAUCGAUAUUUUAGACCUUGCCUCUAACUCACUUAGGGCUGGCAAUUCCUGACACGAUUCAAUACCCGACACGACACGACACGAAAUUAACAGGUGUUCGGGUCGACACGAUAACAAAUCGGGUCGUUAUCGGGUAACUCGAUAAGCACCUGUUAAGAUAACGGCUUGGUUCGGAUAUACACAUAGGUAACACGAUACACGAUAAGCAGAAU
rnacentral:lncRNA from 1 species